rnacentral:rRNA from 1 species
UACGUAGGGCGCAAGCGUUAUCCGGAAUUAUUGGGCGUAAAGAGCUCGUAGGCGGUUUGUCGCGUCUGCCGUGAAAGUCCGGGGCUCAACUCCGGAUCUGCGGUGGGUACGGGCAGACUAGAGUGAUGUAGGGGAGACUGGAAUUCCUGGUGUAGCGGUGAAAUGCGCAGAUAUCAGGAGGAAUACCGGUGGCGAAGGCGGCAUCCUGGACCGGCAUUGACGCUGAGGAGCGAAAGCCAGGGGAGCAAACGGG